UCCACCCGCCUCAGCCUCCCAAAGUGCUGGGAUGACAGGCUUGAGCCACCGCGCCCGGCCUGAUGUAGUUUAUUUCUAAGUUCAAAUUGAUGUUGGUGCCUGAGAGCGGAUGGAGAAAACGAACAUUUCCUCCUUUUUCUUGACAGACGGCUUACUAGUGCACAGCUGAGAACCCCACACCACAGAAGACAGGAAAGUUGUGCUGCGCCCAUGUGAUGGGCACUCGUCAGCACUGGGAAGGAAUGCACUGUUGGCACACACAGCAGCUUGGAUCAAUCUGAAAGUCACUACACUGAGUUAGAGAAGCCAAAUAAAAGCGCGGGCUGUGUGAGUCCACGUGCAGAGCGUGUAGAGAUGCUUCCUGCCUGCAUAAUGGAAAGCAGAUCAUGGUUCCCUGCAGACUGGCGGGAGCAGAUUCCAAAGGCAUGGGAAGAAGCUUGCGGGUAGAAUGUGUUCAAUCCCUUCUGCACAUUACACCAUAAAAAGAGCUGAUAGUAAAAAUGCUAACCAAAG